rnacentral:rRNA from 1 species
UACGUAGGGUGCAAGCGUUAAUCGGAAUUACUGGGCGUAAAGCGUGCGCAGGCGGUUUUGUAAGUUUGUCGUGAAAUCCCCGGGCUCAACCUGGGAAUGGCGAUGAAGACUGCAAGGCUAGAGUUUGGCAGAGGGGGGUAGAAUUCCACGUGUAGCAGUGAAAUGCGUAGAUAUGUGGAGGAACACCGAUGGCGAAGGCAGCCCCCUGGGUCAAAACUGACGCUCAUGCACGAAAGCGUGGGGAGCAAACAGG